rnacentral:rRNA from 1 species
GACGAACGCUGGCGGCGCGCCUAACACAUGCAAGUCGAACGAGCGAGAGAGAGCUUGCUUUCUCGAGCGAGUGGCGAACGGGUGAGUAACGCGUGAGGAACCUGCCUCAAAGAGGGGGACAACAGUUGGAAACGACUGCCAAUACCGCAUAAGCCCACGGCUCGGCAUCGAGCAGAGGGAAAAGGAGCAAUCCGCUUUGAGAUGGCCUCGCGUCCGAUUAGCUAGUUGGUGAGGUAACGGCCCACCAAGGCGACGAUCGGUAGCCGGACUGAGAGGUUGAACGGCCACAUUGGGACUGAGACACGGCCCAGACUCCUACGGGAGGCAGCAGUGGGGAAUAUUGCACAAUGGGGGAAACCCUGAUGCAGCGACGCCGCGUGGAGGAAGAAGGUCUUCGGAUUGUAAACUCCUGUUGUUGAGGAAGAUAAUGACGGUACUCAACAAGGAAGUGACGGCUAACUACGUGCCAGCAGCCGCGGUAAAACGUAGGUCACAAGCGUUGUCCGGAAUUACUGGGUGUAAAGGGAGCGCAGGCGGGAAGGCAAGUUGGAAGUGAAAUCCAUGGGCUCAACCCAUGAACUGCUUUCAAAACUGUUUUUCUUGAGUAGUGCAGAGGUAGGCGGAAUUCCCGGUGUAGCGGUGGAAUGCGUAGAUAUCGGGAGGAACACCAGUGGCGAAGGCGGCCUACUGGGCACCAACUGACGCUGAGGCUCGAAAGUGUGGGUAGCAAACAGGAUUAGAUACCCUGGUAGUCCACACUGUAAACGAUGAUUACUAGGUGUUGGAGGAUUGACCCCUUCAGUGCCGCAGUUAACACAAUAAGUAAUCCACCUGGGGAGUACGACCGCAAGGUUGAAACUCAAAGGAAUUGACGGGGGCCCGCACAAGCAGUGGAGUAUGUGGUUUAAUUCGACGCAACGCGAAGAACCUUACCAAGUCUUGACAUCCUGCGACGGUUCUGGAAACAGAACUUUCCUUCGGGACGCAGAGACAGGUGGUGCAUGGUUGUCGUCAGCUCGUGUCGUGAGAUAUUGGGUUAAGUCCCGCAACGAGCGCAACCCUUAUGGUCAGUUACUACGCAAGAGGACUCUGGCCAGACUGCCGUUGACAAAACGGAGGAAGGUGGGGAUGACGUCAAAUCAUCAUGCCCUUUAUGACUUGGGCUACACACGUACUACAAUGGCGUUAAACAAAGAGAAGCAAGACCGCGAGGUGGAGCAAAACUCAGAAACAACGUCCCAGUUCGGACUGCAGGCUGCAACUCGCCUGCACGAAGUCGGAAUUGCUAGUAAUCGCAGAUCAGCAUGCUGCGGUGAAUACGUUCCCGGGCCU